GGGGCUGGGGCUCAGUGGCAGAGCACUUGCCUAGCAUGCAUGAGGAGCUGGGUUCGAUUCCCAGCACCA
rnacentral:tRNA from 1 species